rnacentral:lncRNA from 1 species
GAGGCGGGGUCUUCCGGAUGCCUUGCUGGAAGUUUGUUUUUGCUCUACAGGAUUGAACCGUCUCUGUGUCUUGCUUUGAGCGCUGCUGUUGGGUGCUGUGAGUGGACCUCAAGUAAGCUCCGUUUUUGAAACAUGGAUGCAGUGACUUAUGAUGAUGUGCGUGUGAACUUCACUGAGGAAGAGUGGGAUUUGCUGGAUCCUUCCCAGAAAAGUCUCUAUGAAGAGGUGAUGCUGGAGACCUACCAGAACAUCACUGCUAUAGGCUACAAUUGGGAAGACCAUCAUAUUGAAGAACAUUGUCAAAGUUCUAGAAGACAUGAAAGGGGAUUACAGUUACAUGAUUGGAUGACUCUCAGAAGAGACUGUGACCUUUGGACUUUUAACAUAUUUGAGACUGGUAUAGAUGAUGGGGACUUUUGAAGUUUGACCACAUGUAUUUUCCAUUAUGCCAUGUUUAAGAAUGGUUCCCAUACAUUCCUGUACUCCAACAAGCUUAUGGGGCCAGUAAGUGGAAUGUGGGAGUUUGAAUUUGCUUGUCACAAGGAGUGGCUCUAUUAAGAGGUGUGACCUUGUUGGAGGAAGUGGAUAUCUCUGGGGGUGGACUUUCAAGCUCCACCAAGUGCAAAACAGACCCUCCAAUUCCCUCCCUGGAAGACAGUUUCUUCCUGGCUGCCUUUGGAUCAAAAUGCAGAACUUACAGCUCUUUCUCCAGCAUCAUGACUUCUUGCAUGCUGCCAUGCUUCCUGCUAUGAUGAAAAAUGGACUAAACCUCUGAAACUGUAAGCCAGCCCCAAUUAAAGGUUUGCUUUAAUGA